UACGGGGGGGGGCAAGCGUUGUUCGGAAUUACUGGGCGUAAAGGGCUCGUAGGCGGCCAACUAAGUCAGACGUGAAAUCCCUCGGCUUAACCGGGGAACUGCGUCUGAUACUGGAUGGCUUGAGAUUGGGAGAGGGAUGCGGAAUUCCAGGUGUAGCGGUGAAAUGCGUAGAUAUCUGGAGGAACACCGGUGGCGAAGGCGGCAUCCUGGACCAACACUGACGCUGAGGAGCGAAAGCUAGGGGAGCAAACGGG
rnacentral:rRNA from 1 species